GUGGGGAAUCUUGCGCAAUGGGCGAAAGCCUGACGCAGCCAUGCCGCGUGAAUGAUGAAGGUCUUAGGAUUGUAAAAUUCUUUCACCGGGGACGAUAAUGACGGUACCCGGAGAAGAAGCUCCGGCUAACUUCGUGCCAGCAGCCGCGGUAAUACGAAGGGGGCUAGCGUUGCUCGGAAUUACUGGGCGUAAAGGGCGCGUAGGCGGACAGCUUAGUCAGAGGUGAAAGCCCAGUGCUCAACCUUGGAAUUGCCUUUGAUACUGGCUGUCUUGAGUACGGGAGAGGGGAGUGGAACUCCGAGUGUAGAGGUGAAAUUCGUAGAUAUUCGGAAGAACACCAGUGGCGAAGGCGACUCACUGGCCCGUUACUGACGCUGAGGCGCGAAAGCGUGGGGAGCAAACAGGAUUAGAUACCCGGGUAGUCC
rnacentral:rRNA from 1 species